AUUGAACGCUAGCGGGAUGCUUUACACAUGCAAGUCGAACAAGUGGCGGACGGGUGAGUAAUAUAUGGGAACGUGCCCGGUAGCGGGGGAUAACUACUGGAAAGAGUGGCUAAUACCGCAUACUAUUAGAGCGGCCGAUAUGGGAUUAGCUAGUUGGUGGGGUAAAGGCUCACCAAGGCGACGAUCCGUAGCUGGUUUGAGAGGAAGACCAGCCACACUGGGACUGAGACACGGCCCAGACUCCUACGGGAGGCAGCAGUGGGGAAUUUUGGACAAUGGGCGAAACCCGGAUCCAGCCAUGCCGCGUGUAUGAGAAGGCCUUCGGGUUGUAAAGUACUUUUGGCAGAGAAGCGGUAUCUGCAGAAUAAGCACCGGCUAACUACGUGCCAGCAGCCGCGGUAAUAC
rnacentral:rRNA from 1 species